CUUGGUCAUUUAGACGAAGUAAAAGUCGUAACAAGGUUUCCGUAGGUGAACCUGCGGAAGGAUCAUUAACAAAAGUAUGAGAGUGCACUUCAUUGUGGCUCCAAUCUUUUAACCAACCCUUCAAAUGGCCUCUGUUCAUGUUGAUGAUAAGUUGACAUGUUUCAUUGGCAAAAGCUGAUAGAUUAAAAACUUGAAGCAUUACCCCCCCAUUUACUUUAUAAUUCUAAACCUAGUGUAUAAAGAAUGUAAAACACCUUCAUUUAUGAAGAAAAAAAAAGUAUAACUUUUAACAAUGGAUCUCUAGGCUCUCACAUCGAUGAAGAACGCAGUGAAAUGUGAUAACUAAUGUGAAUUGCAGAAUUCAGUGAAUCAUCAAAUCUUUGAACGCACCUUGCGCCUUUUGGUUUUCCAAAAGGCACACCUGUUUGAGUGUCAUGAAAACACCCCUCAAUUAUCUAUUCUGUCUAGUUAUGGAAAGGAUGAUUGGAUAUUGAGUGUUGCCAUCAUUUGGCUCACUUUAAAAACAUAAGUCAUUUUUAAACUUGAGUUGGAUUGACUAUGAUGUGAUAAAAUAUCUUCAUCUAGGAAUGGUAUCUUGUGUACUGCCAGCUUCUUGCAAAGGAAAGGCUCAUAACCAGUGAUAGUGAAGUUUCACAACUUCAGCUACACACCUUAAAUUUAAGACCUCAAAUCAGGUGGGACUACCCGCUGAACUUAAGCAUAUCAAUAAGCGGAGGAAAAGAAACUAACCAGGAUUCCCCUAGUAACGGCGAGUGAAGAGGGAAAAGCCCAAAUUUGUAAUCUGGCUCUUUUAGAGCUCGAGUUGUAAUUUUAAGAACUGUUAUCUGUGCUGGACCGUGUACAAGUCUCCUG
rnacentral:rRNA from 1 species